AUUGAACGCUGGCGGCAUGCCUUACACAUGCAAGUCGAACGGCAGCACGGGGCAACCUGGUGGCGAGUGGCGAACGGGUGAGUAAUGCAUCGGAACGUACCUUUCAGUGGGGGAUAACGUAGCGAAAGUUACGCUAAUACCGCAUAUUCUGUGAGCAGGAAAGCAGGGGAUCGCAAGACCUUGCGCUGAUUGAGCGGCCGAUGUCAGAUUAGCUAGUUGAUGAGGUAAAGGCUCACCAAGGCGACGAUCUGUAGCGGGUCUGAGAGGAUGAUCCGGCAACCUGGAGCGGCGAAGCGGUCCAGACUCCUAGGGGAGGCAGCAGUGGGGAAUUUUGGACAAUGGGGGCGACCCUGAUCCAGCCAUGCCGCGUGAGUGAAGAAGGCCUGCGGGUUGUAAAGCGCUUUCGGCCGGGAAGAAAUCGCACGGGCUAAUACCCUGUGUGGAUGACGGUACCGGAAUAAGAAGCACCGGCUAACUACGUGCCAGCCGCCGCCGUAAUAC
rnacentral:rRNA from 1 species